rnacentral:rRNA from 1 species
AGCCAGACUCCUACGGGAGGCAGCAGUGGGGAAUAUUGCACAAUGGGGGAAACCCUGAUGCAGCGACGCCGCGUGAAGGAAGAAGUAUUUCGGUAUGUAAACUUCUAUCAGCAGGGAAGAAAAUGACGGUACCUGACUAAGAAGCCCCGGCUAACUACGUGCCAGCAGCCGCGGUAAUACGUAGGGGGCAAGCGUUAUCCGGAUUUACUGGGUGUAAAGGGAGCGUAGGCGGUGCAGCAAGUCAGAAGUGGAAGCCCGCGGCUCAACUGCGGGACUGCUUUUGAAACUGUAUAGCUUGAGUGCAGGAGAGGUAAGCGGAAUUCCUAGUGUAGCGGUGAAAUGCGUAGAUAUCAGGAGGAACACCGGCGGCGAAGGCGGCUUACUGGACUGUAACUGACGUUGAGGCUCGAAGGCGUGGGGAGCAAACAGGAUUAGAUACCCUUGUA